rnacentral:rRNA from 1 species
GAUGAACGCUGGCGGCGUGCCUAAUACAUGCAAGUCGAGCGAACGGACGAGAAGCUUGCUUCUCUGAUGUUAGCGGCGGACGGGUGAGUAACACGUGGAUAACCUACCUAUAAGACUGGGAUAACUUCGGGAAACCGGAGCUAAUACCGGAUGAUAUUUUGAACCGCAUGGUUCAAAAGUGAAAGACGGUCUUGCUGUCACUUAUAGAUGGAUCCGCGCUGCAUUAGCUAGUUGGUAAGGUAACGGCUUACCAAGGCAACGAUGCAUAGCCGACCUGAGAGGGUGAUCGGCCACACUGGAACUGAGACACGGUCCAGACUCCUACGGGAGGCAGCAGUAGGGAAUCUUCCGCAAGGGGCGGAAGCCUGACGGAGCAGCGCCGCGUGAGUGAUGAAGGUCUUCGGAUCGUAAAACUCUGUUAUUAGGGAAGAACAUAUGUGUAAGUAACUGUGCACAUCUUGACGGUACCUAAUCAGAAAGCCACGGCUAACUACGUG